rnacentral:rRNA from 1 species
UUUAUUGGAGAGUUUGAUCCUGGCUCAGGAUGAACGCUGGCGGCGUGCCUAAUACAUGCAAGUCGAGCGAAUGGAUUGAGAGCUUGCUCUCAAGAAGUUAGCGGCGGACGGGUGAGUAACACGUGGGUAACCUGCCCAUAAGACUGGGAUAACUCCGGGAAACCGGGGCUAAUACCGGAUAACAUUUUGAACCGCAUGGUUCGAAAUUGAAAGGCGGCUUCGGCUGUCACUUAUGGAUGGACCCGCGUCGCAUUAGCUAGUUGGUGAGGUAACGGCUCAC